UACGUAGGCAGCAAGCGCUGUUCGGAGUUACUGGGCGUAAAGGGUGUGUAGGCGGUUCCUUAAGUUUGCUGUGAAAUCUCCCGGCUUAACCGGGAGGGUGCGGUGAAUACUGAGGGACUAGAGUACGGGAGAGGAAAGUGGAAUUCCUGGUGUAGCGGUGAAAUGCGUAGAUAUCAGGAGGAACACCGGUGGUGUAGACGGCUUUCUGGACCGUAACUGACGCUGAGACACGAAAGCGUGGGUAGCAAACAGG
rnacentral:rRNA from 1 species